rnacentral:rRNA from 1 species
UACGUAGGGGGCUAGCGUUGUCCGGAUUUAUUGGGCGUAAAGAGCGUGUAGGCGGCCAGGUAGGUCUGCUGUGAAAACUCGAGGCUUAACCUCGAGAUGUCGGCGGAAACCAUCUGGCUAGAGUCCGGAAGAGGAGAGCGGAAUUCCUGGUGUAGCGGUGAAAUGCGCAGAUAUCAGGAGGAACACCGGUGGCGAAGGCGGCAUCCUGGACCAAUUCUGACACUGAGGAGCGAAAGCCAGGGGAGCAAACGGG